rnacentral:rRNA from 1 species
ACCAGCGGUGAUAUUGAAUGCACCAGUUCCCCACGGAUCGCUGCAGUUAAGCAACGUUGGGAGUGGUUAGUAAAUGGAUGGGUGACUAUCAUCGGGGGAAACCGCGUGCUGCUGGGU